rnacentral:rRNA from 1 species
AUGAACGCUGGCGGCAGGCCUAAAACAUGCAAGUCGAACGCCCUAGCAAUAGGGAGUGGCGCACGGGUGAGUAACAUGUGGGAAUAUGCCUUUUGGUACGGAACAACGUUUGGAAACGAACGCUAAUACCGUAUGGUCCCUUCGGGGUAAAGAUUUAUCGCCAAAAGAUUAGCCCGCACUGGAUUAGCUAGUUGGUAAGGUAAUGGCUUACCAAGGCGACGAUCCAUAGCUGGUCUGAGAGGACGAUCAGCCACACUGGGACUGAGACACGGCCCAGACUCCUACGGGAGGCAGCAGUUAGGAAUAUUGGACAAUGGGCGCAAGCCUGAUCCAGCCAUGCCGCGUGAGUGAUGAAGGCCUUCGGGUUGUAAAACUCUUUAGCCGAUGAAUAUAAUGACUGUAGUCGGAAAAUAAGCCCCGGCUAACUUCGU